rnacentral:rRNA from 1 species
UGGGCUUGACAUAAUCCCGACCGCCGUGGGAACGCGGCUUCCCUUCGGGGCGGGAUUACAGGUGCUGCAUGGCUGUCGUCAGCUCGUGUCGUGAGAUGUUCGGUUAAGUCCGGCAACGAGCGCAACCCGUGUCGUCAGUUGCCAGCAGGUAAUGCUGGGGACUCUGGCGAGACUGCCCGAGUCAAGCGGGAGGAAGGCGCGGAUGACGUCAAGUCCGUAUGGCCCUUACGUCCAGGGCUGCACACGUGCUACAAUGGGCGGUACAAUGGGAUGCGAUGCCGCAAGGUGGAGCAAAUCCUCAAAACCGUCCUCAGUUCGGAUUGGAGUCUGCAACUCGACUCCAUGAAGU